AGAGAGAUGACACUGUGGUUUAAACAAGUCAUGCUUGAAGAUGAUGAUGAACAAGUUGGGGAAAAUUACCGGAAAAUUAAACAACAACAACAACAAGAGGAUCAGAUUAUCAAUACUGAACUUACUGAUGAGCAUGUUCAAGGUCUUGAAAACACUGCAGUCACUAAGUGGCUAAUUAUAUGAUGAGUGGAGAAUUCAUUCUAGAGACUGGUGCCUGAUGUUAAUGGAAAUGGUCCAGUUGACAACUAUGGCUAUGCAGAGCAACAGUUGCAGCAGGUUGUCGAACAUGAGAAUGUCAUGGAGGAUCCUGCUACAGAACUGUCUUAACGGUUAAUUUCAAAGUAGUGCAUGCAGUGAAUUUUGUACAGGAACACCUGGCAUGGCUUCAUUUGUUGAGGAACCUAUUGGAGAGCCCCCAAAGCUGACCUAUGCUUCUAUAUUAUGUACGGAACCUGUUAGCCAGUAUUGUGUCUUUCAAAUAUCAUAUUUUUUGUAUUUGACCCAAUUUUCCAGCUUUUUUUUCUCUUUUCGAAGUUACGCGUUGUUAAAGGACAACCUGCACCAUCUGUAGUACCGCAACAUUUCAGUUAACAAGACUGCACCACUGGCUUCAGAUUGGAAUGACUUUUCACAGUCCAUUGCAUUGUCCAAUGUAGUUGAAAUGCCUGUAGCAGAGACAGCAGGAAGUUUCUUCCCUAGAAGAUGAAGGUAAACCUCUUGGCUUCCUUCAAUUGUUACCAUUGAGCUUUGGGGAUUCAGCCUUCAUGAGUUGUACUGCUCUAUUAUUUUGUAAUGGGGUCAAAACCUCAUAUACUUUGUUGUUACAUACAUUUGAUUUGGCGCGAUACUGAUUUUAACAAUUUUCUUUAAAUAAGGCCUUUGACAGCAAUAUUAAGAAUAUGUUGUUUGUGAUA